rnacentral:rRNA from 1 species
AGUGAACGCUGGCGGUAGGCCUAACACAUGCAAGUCGAACGGCAGCACAGGAGAGCUUGCUCUCUGGGUGGCGAGUGGCGGACGGGUGAGGAAUACAUCGGAAUCUACUCUGUCGUGGGGGAUAACGUAGGGAAACUUACGCUAAUACCGCAUACGACCUACGGGUGAAAGCAGGGGACCUUCGGGCCUUGCGCGAUGGAAUGAGCCGAUGUCGGAUUAGCUAGUUGGCGGGGUAAAGGCCUACCAAGGCGACGAUCCGUAGCUGGUCUGAGAGGAUGAUCAGCCACACUGGAACUGAGACACGGUCCAGACUCCUACGGGAGGCAGCAGUGGGGAAUAUUGGACAAUGGGCGCAAGCCUGAUCCAGCCAUACCGCGUGGGUGAAGAAGGCCUUCGGGUUGUAAAGCCCUUUUGUUGGGAAAGAAAUCCAGCUGGCUAAUACCCGGUUGGGAUGACGGUACCCAAAGAAUAAGCACCGGCCAACUUCGUGCCAGCAGCCGCGGUAA